rnacentral:rRNA from 1 species
AUUCUGGCUCAGGAUGAACGCUAGCUACAGGCUUAACACAUGCAAGUCGAGGGGCAGCAUUGGGAGUAGCUUGCUAUCCAGAUGGCGACCGGCGCACGGGUGAGUAACGCGUAUCCAACCUUCCCUAUAGUAGAGAAUAGGCCCGGCGAAAGUCGGAUUAAUGCUCUAUGUUGUGUUUUUGAGGACAUCUGACGAACACCAAAGGUUCACCGCUAUAGGAUGGGGAUGCGUCUGAUUAGCUUGUUGGCGGGGUAACGGCCCACCAAGGCGACGAUCAGUAGGGGUUCUGAGAGGAAGGUCCCCCACAUUGGUACUGAGACACGGACCAAACUCCUACGGGAGGCAGCAGUGAGGAAUAUUGGUCAAUGGGCGAGAGCCUGAACCAGCCAAGUAGCGUGCAAGGACGACUGCCCUAUGGGUUGUAAACUGCUUUUAUCAGGGAAUAAAGUGCGGCACGUGUGCCGUUUUGUAUGUACCUGAUGAAUAAGGACCGGCUAAUUCCGUGCCAGCCGCGGC